GUGCUCAAUGCAGCAGCACAUGUACUAAAAUUGGAACGAUACCGAGAUUAGCAUGGCCUCUGCGCAAGGCUGACAGGCAAAUCCGUGAAGCGUUCCAUAUUAUU